GUUAGAGAAAAAUGAUUGUAAAUCAUUUAAUGAUUUAUCUCCUCUUCCA
rnacentral:tRNA from 1 species